AAAAUAUAACUAGUCGUAUACAAAAUACAAAUCGAAUGUACAUAUCGCUUACAAGAUACGACCAAAAAAAUAAUCAGUUUAAAUAAAUAAAUAAAUAAAAACUAAGUUACUAGUCAAUACAAAAAUAACAAUAACAAUAAAAAUAAAGCAUUCAACGGUUCUUGAAUCAUUCCAACAAUACUUGUUUGGCAAAUUAGCAAAACCUAAAUUAGGAUCUGCAUCAGGUUCACAAAAAGAAUAACAUCAAAAUUCUAUUGGUUAAUAAACCAGCAAAUCUGCUUGAUAAAGCAUAAAAACCAAAAAAAAAAAAAUAUACUAAUUAACAGCCGUAUUGAAUUGAAGAUUACCGUGAGGAUCAAUUGCCCAUUCAUGUUUCCCGUUGAUGAGUGACUUGUAUAAAUCUGAUUACCUGAUGGCUUGUAUGAACUUAACAUUUCAACGAAAUAAAAUUACUUAUAUGUUUAACAGUUCUAGCAAAGUACAUAUAAGUUCAUCAUCAUUCUAUCAGGAUACUCUUCUGCGAUCUUUUAUAUUACAAGUGUACCAUGACAACAAAUGAAUCUGUCAUUCGUCAAUCUGCAAGACAAAUAUAGUCACUAAUGUAGUAAAUCAAUGAGUAAAACAAUAUCAUAUUAUAAUCAGAGAUCCAUGACAUUUCUAAUAUACAUAAAAUUUCAACUACAAGGAAAAAUAAUAAUAAAAAAAUCGAUUAAAGAAACAAAGCACCAUUAAACAGGGACGAGAGGAAGAGUACCUGAGUGAGGCAAGAGAUGAGUGCAAAGGCGUUCAAGAUAAGAGAUUACAUCCAAGAAUGCUAGAUCAACAUUUCUCAUAAAUGAAUCUGCCAUAUGUUACAAGAAUAAACCAGUUACUCUGCAAUCAACCAUAAAAACUUCAAUCAACUCAUCCAAUUUGUCAAAUGCAUCAAAUAAGUCAAUACUAAAUUAGUUCACAAAUUUUUUUUUCAUUACAGCCCAUGUCGCGUGCAAAUCGAAGUGUGGUUUUUAUCCUAUAAAAAAAUUAACAACAAUGUGAGCAUGAUUUUUAUUAAUAAUAGUUGAAACAGAACAAAUAACAUGUGAUUAAAGCAAUGUGGAGCAAAACAAGUUUUCGAUGAAAGGAAAGGCCACUAGCCCACUACUAUUAAUCAAAGUUUCCUAUUCAAAAGUACAGAACAUGUACUGUUACAUUCAUCUUAACCAUAACUGAUCGCCUCUAAUUCGCAAUCGAUUCAACUACCAUCAUCAUCGUUAGUUUAUAAUAAGAGUUGUGUUGGAUUGGGCACUGAGUUAAAAAAGUGGUGAUGAUUAACAGAUCUAGAGAUUGAGAAUCACAAAUUAAGUGAAUCAGAAGUAGUCAGAGUCUCAGAGACAUACCAAUCAUAGAGAUGCAAGAUACGAAGAUCGUUUGAAACGUCGACUUUAGAGAUGACUGGUGACAUCUACACAGAUGGUGGAGGUUGUUCAGUGGGGGUUCGUUGGAGGUGCGUCGUGGUGGUUGUACGUCGUGGUCGU
rnacentral:lncRNA from 1 species